GGGACACGUGGUAUCCUGUCUGAAUAUGGGGGGACCAUCCUCCAAGGCUAAAUACUCCUGACUGACCGAUAGUGAACCAGUACCGUGAGGGAAAGGCGAAAAGAACCCCGGCGAGGGGAGUGAAAAAGAACCUGAAACCGUGUACGUACAAGCAGUGGGAGCACAGGUUUACCUGUGUGACUGCGUACCUUUUGUAUAAUGGGUCAGCGACUUAUAUUCUGUAGCAAGGUUAACCGUAUAGGGGAGCCGGAGGGAAACCGAGUCUUAAUUGGGCGUUAAGUUGCAGGGUAUAGACCCGAAACCCGGUGAUCUAGCCAUGGGCAGGUUGAAGGUUGGGUAACACUAACUGGAGGACCGAACCGACUAAUGUUGAAAAAUUAGCGGAUGACCUGUGGCUGGGGGUGAAAGGCCAAUCAAACCGGGAGAUAGCUGGUUCUCCCCGAAAGCUAUUUAGGUAGCGCCUCGUGAAUUCAUCUCCGGGGGUAGAGCACUGUUUCGGCUAGGGGGCCAUCCCGGCUUACCAACCCGAUGCAAACUGCGAAUACCGGAGAAUGUUAUCACGGGAGACACACGGCGGGUGCUAACGUCCGUCGUGAAGAGGGAAACAACCCAGACCGCCAGCUAAGGUCCCAAAGUCAUGGUUAAGUGGGAAACGAUGUGGGAAGGCCCAGACAGCCAGGAUGUUGGCUUAGAAGCAGCCAUCAUUUAAAGAAAGCGUAAUAGCUCACUGGUCGAGUCGGCCUGCGCG
rnacentral:rRNA from 1 species